UGGGGAAUUUUGGACAAUGGGCGCAAGCCUGAUCCAGCCAUGCCGCGUGCCUGAAGAAGGCCUUCGGGUUGUAAAGGACUUUUGUCAGGGAAGAAAAGGCUGUUGCUAAUACCGACAGCUGAUGACGGUACCUGAAGAAUAAGCACCGGCUAACUACGUGCCAGCAGCCGCGGUAAUACGUAGGGUGCGAGCGUUAAUCGGAAUUACUGGGCGUAAAGCGAGCGCAGACGGUUACUUAAGCAGGAUGUGAAAUCCCCGGGCUCAACCUGGGAACUGCGUUCUGAACUGGGUGACUAGAGUGUGUCAGAGGGAGGUAGAAUUCCACGUGUAGCAGUGAAAUGCGUAGAGAUGUGGAGGAAUACCGAUGGCGAAGGCAGCCUCCUGGGAUAACACUGACGUUCAUGCUCGAAAGCGUGGGUAGCAAACAGGAUUAGAUACCCUGGUAGUCCACGCCCUAAACGAUGUCAAUUAGCUGUUGGGCAACUUGAUUGCUUAGUAGCGUAGCUAACGCGUGAAAUUGACCGCCUGGGGAGUACGACCGCAAGGUUG
rnacentral:rRNA from 1 species